rnacentral:rRNA from 1 species
UACAGAGGUCCCAAGCGUUGUUCGGAUUCACUGGGCGUAAAGGGUGCGUAGGUGGUGAGGUAAGUCGGAUGUGAAAGCUCGGAGCUCAACUCCGAAAUGGCAUUGGAAACUACCUUGCUCGAGGGUUGGAGGGGGGACUGGAAUGCUUGGUGUAGCAGUGAAAUGCGUAGAUAUUGGGAAGAACACCUGAGGCGAAGGCGGGUUGCUGGGCUGACACUGACGCUGAGGCGCGAAAGCUAGGGGAGCGAACGGG